rnacentral:tRNA from 1 species
GGGGCCGUAGCGCAGAGGUCGUCGCAUCCGCCUCCGGAGCGGAGGGUCGCCGGUUCGAUUCCGGCCAGCCCUG